rnacentral:rRNA from 1 species
GAUGAACGCUGGCGGCGUGCCUAAUACAUGCAAGUCGAGCGAACAGACGAGGAGCUUGCUCCUCUGACGUUAGCGGCGGACGGGUGAGUAACACGUGGAUAACCUACCUAUAAGACUGGGAUAACUUCGGGAAACCGGAGCUAAUACCGGAUAACAUGUUGAACCGCAUGGUUCAACAGUGAAAGACGGUCUUGCUGUCACUUAUAGAUGGAUCCGCGCCGCAUUAGCUAGUUGGUAAGGUAACAGCUUACCAAGGCAACGAUCCGUAGCCGACCUGAGAGGGUGAUCGGCCACACUGGAACUGAGACACGGUCCAGACUCCUACGGGAGGCAGCAGUAGGGAAUCUUCCGCAAUGGGCGAAAGCCUGACGGAGCAACGCCGCGUGAGUGAUGAAGGUCUUCGGAUCGUAAAACUCUGUUAUUAGGGAAGAAAAAAUGUGUAAGUAACUAUGCACGUCUUGACGGUACCUAAACAGAAAGCCACGGCUAACUACGUG